GAGCAUAUGGCUCAGUGGGAGAGCAUGUGCUUAGCAUGCUUAAGGUCCUUGGUUCAAUCCCCAGUACCUCCA
rnacentral:tRNA from 1 species